rnacentral:rRNA from 1 species
AUUGAACGCUGGCGGUAGGCCUAACACAUGCAAGUCGAACGCGAAAGUCCUUCGGGAUGAGUAGAGUGGCGGACGGGUGAGUAACGCGUAGGAAUCUAUCCUGUAGUGGGGGAUAACGUUUCGAAAGGAACGCUAAUACCGCAUACGCCCCAAGGGGGAAAGCGGGGGAUUUUCGGACCUCGUGCUAUAGGAGGAGCCUGCGUCGGAUUAGCUAGUUGGUGAGGUAAAGGCUCACCAAGGCGACGAUCCGUAGCUGGUCUGAGAGGAUGAUCAACCACACCGGAACUGAGACACGGUCCGGACUCCUACGGGAGGCAGCAGUGGGGAAUAUUGCGCAAUGGGCGAAAGCCUGACGCAGCCAUACCGCGUGUGUGAAGAAGGCCUUCGGGUUGUAAAGCACUUUCAGUGGGGAGGAAAAGCUGGUGGCUAAUAUCCAUCGGCCGUGACGCUACCCACAGAAGAAGCACCGGCUAAUUCCGUGCCAGCCGCCGCGGUAACAC